rnacentral:rRNA from 1 species
AUUGAACGCUGGCGGCAGGCCUGACACAUGCAAGUCGAGCGGAUGAAGGGAGCUUGCUCCUGGAUUCAGCGGCGGACGGGUGAGUAAUGCCUAGGAAUCUGCCUGGUGGUGGGGGAUAACGUCCGGAAACGGGCGCUAAUACCGCAUACGUCCUGAGGGAGAAAGUGGGGGAUCUUCGGACCUCACGCUAUCAGAUGAGCCUAGGUCGGAUUAGCUAGUUGGUGGGGUAAAGGCCUACCAAGGCGACGAUCCGUAACUGGUCUGAGAGGAUGAUCAGUCACACUGGAACUGAGACACGGUCCAGACUCCUACGGGAGGCAGCAGUGGGGAAUAUUGGACAAUGGGCGAAAGCCUGAUCCAGCCAUGCCGCGUGUGUGAAGAAGGUCUUCGGAUUGUAAAGCACUUUAAGUUGGGAGGAAGGGCAGUAAGUUAAUACCUUGCUGUUUUGACGUUACCAACAGAAUAAGCACCGGCUAACUUCGUG